rnacentral:rRNA from 1 species
GAUGAACGCUGGCGGCGUGCUUAAUACAUGCAAGUCGAGCGAAAAGACCCGGCUCUUGCUGGUUUGUCGUUUGGCGAUCGGGUGAGUAACACGUGAGUAACCUGCACUUGUCUUUGGGGUAACUUCAGGGAAAUGGGGCGCAUACCGGGUAGGAGCUACUGCUGCAUGUGGGGGGUUGGAGAGAUUCGGCCGUAGGGGCUGGUCUAGCGGCUUAUCAGCUGGUUGGUGUGGUAGUGGCUUACAAAGGCUUCGAAGGGUAGCCGGCAUGAGAGGGUGACCGGCGACCAUGGUACUGAGAUACGGCGCAGACUCCUAUGGGAGGCAGCAGUGGGGAAUCUUGCACAAUGGGCGGAAGCCUGAUGCAGCAACGCUGCGUGCGGGAUGACGGCUUUCGGGUUGUAAACCGCUGUCGACUUUGACGAAGCGUGAGUGACGGUAAUGGGUAAAGAAGCACCGGCUAACUACGUG